CACGGAGAGUUUGAUCCUGGCUCAGGACGAACGCUGGCGGCGUGCUUAACACAUGCAAGUCGAGCGAGGCCCGUCCUUCGGGACGGUGUCCUAGCGGCGAACGGGUGAGUAACACGUGGGCAACCUGCCCCUAGCACUGGGAUAACCCCGGGAAACCGGGGCUAAUACCGGAUACGACCUCCGAGGGCAUCCCCGGAGGUGGAAAGGGUUACUGGCUAGGGAUGGGCUCGCGGCCUAUCAGCUUGUUGGUGGGGUAACGGCCUACCAAGGCAGCGACGGGUAGCCGGCCUGAGAGGGCGACCGGCCACACUGGGACUGAGACACGGCCCAGACUCCUACGGGAGGCAGCAGUGGGGAAUAUUGCACAAUGGGCGAAAGCCUGAUGCAGCGACGCCGCGUG
rnacentral:rRNA from 1 species